AGUCUUGUAUUCAUAAAUGAUAUUAAAUUGCAAAUUUAAAGGUAGAAAGUUUCUUAAGGCUU
rnacentral:tRNA from 1 species